CUCAACCUUUUACCGUGGCUCAUCCGGCCGCAGCGUCAUCGUGCAGCCGGGCCUCAAGCUCUCGCGCUAGCGGCACAGUAAGUGUUGCAAAUACAUUUUUAGGUAAGUCGCUAAAAGGUGUCAUUCGUUGCUGAAAGUUGCUAAAGACGUUGUGACACAAGGAUCUUUAUAUUAUUUUCAGCCUCGUCGCAAACGGCGCAGAAUACAAAGAAAUUUCUAAGAUUUUCUUAAUUUCGCGAGUAUUUUUUCCUGUAUUUUAAAUUACACUUCACUCAGAUAAACGGAUGAAAAAGAUUGAUUUGCGAGAAAAUGAUUUCAGCUAUGUACUUAAACGACUAUCGAUUAUCCACUUUUUUCCUCAACGCCGAGGUGAGCCUGGGUGAGACUUCCAUUUCAUUAGCCGCUAUGGGUAAAUAACGAGGAGAUUAACACCGUACAGUAAAACUGUUUGCAGUACAAACUAGAGUGUUCUUAAGAUAACAGAUUAAAAUAAAAUAAUAGGACACAUCAAUCGUCAAUAUCAAGCAGCUAAACCAGCUGUUUUGUACAGCUAAAAAUAAGGUUUACCACUAAGAAACAAUCAACAAGCGCAACCUAAUUCACAUGUGACGCGAGUAUAUAGAUUGCUAAUGUGUCGUCAUCAUGACGUAUUCCCAGUGGUGAACGCAAAGCAUUUUGGGAAACCGCGGCACAAACAUAACGCGCCAGACUUCUAUGCAUGGAGGGAAGAACGCUGUUAUAAACUGGAAUAGUCUUUCUCACGAUAGAAGUGGCGUAAAGCUUAAGAACGGAAUAUCCUUUUAUCGUUUUCCAGCGUGGAAAAAUAAUAGUACAAGCCAUGUUUCAGAGGUGACAAAGUUGACGAAUGGCAUGGAUAACGUUAGCAGCAGUAAGGAGCCCAAGAUUACCUUCGAUAACACUCCACACGAUGGUGUUCAAAACAUUUUCACAACGGCAAACCUGCCUAUGAAAUAUUGGAGUGUGAUCCUGACUGGACCCCUUCUCUGUACCUCGGCCAUACUGAGGUCAAAGCUACGAACACAGACCGGUUCAAGCCCUUUUGGAGAAUUAUAUACCAUGCUCACAUCUAAUAUGUAAAUGUUUAUUGUUUUCCAAAAGAUUUUGUAAUGUGUCUUCUCACAUGUAAUGAUUUUUAGCCAUGUCUGUAAAUAAAAUACACAAAGACUAAAUGGAAUUCUGCCUCCUUUAUCUGUAUUAAGGAAUAAUUGUGCAAAAUCAGUGUUCUUUGGUUGCAAACACAAGUACAU
ensembl:lncRNA